GGACCUAGCGGCGGACGGGUGAGUAAUGCUUAGGAAUCUGCCUAUUAGUGGGGGACAACAUUCCGAAAGGAAUGCUAAUACCGCAUACGUCCUACGGGAGAAAGCAGGGGACCUUCGGGCCUUGCGCUAAUAGAUGAGCCUAAGUCGGAUUAGCUAGUUGGUGGGGUAAAGGCCUACCAAGGCGACGAUCUGUAGCGGGUCUGAGAGGAUGAUCCGCCACACUGGGACUGAGACACGGCCCAGACUCCUACGGGAGGCAGCAGUGGGGAAUAUUGGACAAUGGGGGGAACCCUGAUCCAGCCAUGCCGCGUGUGUGAAGAAGGCCUUAUGGUUGUAAAGCACUUUAAGCGAGGAGGAGGCUACUAGUAUUAAUACUACUGGAUAGUGGACGUUACUCGCAGAAUAAGCACCGGCUAACUCUGUGCCAGCAGCCGCGGUAAUACAGAGGGUGCGAGCGUUAAUCGGAUUUACUGGGCGUAAAGCGUGCGUAGGCGGCCAUUUAAGUCAAAUGUGAAAUCCCCGAGCUUAACUUGGGAAUUGCAUUCGAUACUGGAUGGCUAGAGUAUGGGAGAGGAUGGUAGAAUUCCAGGUGUAGCGGUGAAAUGCGUAGAGAUCUGGAGGAAUACCGAUGGCGAAGGCAGCCAUCUGG
rnacentral:rRNA from 1 species